rnacentral:rRNA from 1 species
CCUACGGGUGGCAGCAGUGGGGAAUAUUGGACAAUGGGGGGAACCCUGAUCCAGCCAUGCCGCGUGUGUGAAGAAGGCCCUCGGGUUGUAAAGCACUUUCAGUGAGGAAGAACGCCUGGUGGUUAAUACCCAUCAGGAAAGACAUCACUCACAGAAGAAGCUCCGGCUAACUCCGUGCCAGCAGCCGCGGUAAUACGGAGGGUGCGAGCGUUAAUCGGAAUUACUGGGCGUAAAGCGCGCGUAGGUGGCUUGAUAAGCCGGUUGUGAAAGCCCCGGGCUCAACCUGGGAACGGCAUCCGGAACUGUCAAGCUAGAGUGCAGGAGAGGAAGGUAGAAUUCCCGGUGUAGCGGUGAAAUGCGUAGAGAUCGGGAGGAAUACCAGUGGCGAAGGCGGCCUUCUGGACUGACACUGACACUGAGGUGCGAAAGCGUGGGUAGCAAACAGGAUUAGAUACCCCGGUAGUC